rnacentral:rRNA from 1 species
AUUGAACGCUGGCGGCGUGCCUAAUACAUGCAAGUCGAACGGAGAUAUUGUAGCAAUACUUUAUUUUAGUGGCGAACGGGUGAGUAACGCGUUGGUGACCUGCCCCGAAGAGGGGGAUAACAGUCCGAAAGGAUUGCUAAUACCCCAUGUGGUUGUCUGGAUUAGAUGCCUAACAACUAAAGGAGAAAUUCACUUCGGGAGGGACCUGCGUCCCAUCAGCUAGUUGGUGAGGUAACGGCCCACCAAGGCGACGACGGGUAGGGGACCUGGGAGGGUGGCCCCCCAAAAUGGAACUGAAACACGGUCCAUACACCUACGGGUGGCAGCAGUAGGGAAUAUUAGUUAAUGUGCGAAAGCGCGAACUAGCAACGCCGCGUGCACGAUGAAGGCCUUCGGGUCGUAAAGUGCUUUUUGAUGGGAUGAGAAAGGACAGUACCAUCAGAAUAAGUCUCGGCUAACUACGUGCCAGCCGCCGCGGUAAGAC